rnacentral:rRNA from 1 species
AGAGUUUGAUCCUGGCUCAGGACGAACGCUGGCGGCGUGCCUAAUACAUGCAAGUCGAACGCUUCUUUUUCCACCGGAGCUUGCUCCACCGGAAAAAGAGGAGUGGCGAACGGGUGAGUAACACGUGGGUAACCUGCCCAUCAGAAGGGGAUAACACUUGGAAACAGGUGCUAAUACCGUAUAACAAUCGAAACCGCAUGGUUUUGAUUUGAAAGGCGCUUUCGGGCGUCGCUGAUGGAUGGACCCGCGGUGCAUUAGCUAGUUGGUGAGGUAACGGCUCACCAAGGCCACGAUGCAUAGCCGACCUGAGAGGGUGAUCGGCCACAUUGGGACUGAGACACGGCCCAAACUCCUACGGGAGGCAGCAGUAGGGAAUCUUCGGCAAUGGACGAAAGUCUGACCGAGCAACGCCGCGUGAGUGAAGAAGGUUUUCGGAUCGUAAAACUCUGUUGUUAGAGAAGAACAAGGAUGAGAGUAACUGUUCAUCCCUUGACGGUAUCUAACCAGAAAGCCACGGCUAACUACGUGCCAGCAGCCGCGGUAAUACGUAGGUGGCAAGCGUUGUCCGGAUUUAUUGGGCGUAAAGCGAGCGCAGGCGGUUUCUUAAGUCUGAUGUGAAAGCCCCCGGCUCAACCGGGGAGGGUCAUUGGAAACUGGGAGACUUGAGUGCAGAAGAGGAGAGUGGAAUUCCAUGUGUAGCGGUGAAAUGCGUAGAUAUAUGGAGGAACACCAGUGGCGAAGGCGGCUCUCUGGUCUGUAACUGACGCUGAGGCUCGAAAGCGUGGGGAGCAAACAGGAUUAGAUACCCUGGUAGUCCACGCCGUAAACGAUGAGUGCUAAGUGUUGGAGGGUUUCCGCCCUUCAGUGCUGCAGCUAACGCAUUAAGCACUCCGCCUGGGGAGUACGACCGCAAGGUUGAAACUCAAAGGAAUUGACGGGGGCCCGCACAAGCGGUGGAGCAUGUGGUUUAAUUCGAAGCAACGCGAAGAACCUUACCAGGUCUUGACAUCCUUUGACCACUCUAGAGAUAGAGCUUCCCCUUCGGGGGCAAAGUGACAGGUGGUGCAUGGUUGUCGUCAGCUCGUGUCGUGAGAUGUUGGGUUAAGUCCCGCAACGAGCGCAACCCUUAUUGUUAGUUGCCAUCAUUCAGUUGGGCACUCUAGCAAGACUGCCGGUGACAAACCGGAGGAAGGUGGGGAUGACGUCAAAUCAUCAUGCCCCUUAUGACCUGGGCUACACACGUGCUACAAUGGGAAGUACAACGAGUCGCGAAGUCGCGAGGCUAAGCUAAUCUCUUAAAGCUUCUCUCAGUUCGGAUUGCAGGCUGCAACUCGCCUGCAUGAAGCCGGAAUCGCUAGUAAUCGCGGAUCAGCACGCCGCGGUGAAUACGUUCCCGGGCCUUGUACACACCGCCCGUCACACCACGAGAGUUUGUAACACCCGAAGUCGGUGAGGUAACCUUUUUGGAGCCAGCCGCCUAAGGUGGGAUAGAUGAUUGGGGUGAAGUCGUAACAAGGUAGCCGUAUCGGAAGGUGCGGCUGGAUCACCU